AGAGGCUACUGCUAUUGGAAUGCGACUAAGCCAUGCGAGUCAAGGGGUUCUUCGGAGCACCAGCGUAUGGCUCAGUAACAUGUGGGUAACCUACCCUCAGGAGGGGGAUAACCUCGGGAAACUGAGGCUAAUAUCCCAUAGACAAAAGAUACUGGAAUGUUUUUUUAUCGAAAGCUCCGGCACCUGAGGAUGGGCCUGCACUCGAUUAGGUUGUUGGUGAGGUAAUGGCUCACCAAGCCUACGAUCGGUACGGGUCGUGAGAGCGAUAGCCCGGAGAUGGGGACUGAGACAAGGCCCCAGGCCCUACGGGGCGCAGCAGGCGCGAAACCUCUGCAAUGUGUGAAAACAUGACAGGGGUAUUCCAAGUGCUCUUGUUUUGCAAGAGCUUUUCUUCGGUCCAAGACGCCGGAGGAAUAAGAGCUGGGCAAGACCGGUGCCAGCCGCCGCGGUAACACCGGCAGCUCAAGUGGUAGCCGUUAUUAUUGGGCCUAAAGCGUUCGUAGCCGGACAAGUAAGUGUUCUGGUAAAUCUCAUAACUUAAUUAUGAGACUUCAGAAUAUACUGCUUGUCUUGAGACCGGGAGAGGCUGGAGGUACUUUUGGGGUAGGGGUAAAAUCCUAUAAUCCCAAAGGGACCACCGGUGGCGAAGGCGUCCAGCCAGAACGGGUCUGACGGUGAGGGACGAAACCCAGGGGAGCGAGUCGGAUUAGAUACCCGGGUAGUCCUGGGCGUAAAUGAUGUGGGCUANGUGCAAAGCUACCUAAGUGGUAGCUUGGUGCCGAUGGGAAGCCGUUAAGCCCACCGCCUGGGGAGUACGGUCGCAAGGCUGAAACUUA
rnacentral:rRNA from 1 species